rnacentral:rRNA from 1 species
AUUCCAGCUCCAAUAGCGUAUAUUAAAGUUGUUGCAGUUAAAAAGCUCGUAGUUGGAUUUUUGACAGGAGCGACCAUACCGGGCUUGAUUGUCCGUGUUUUGUGUUGUCUCCAGUCAUCCUCGUGGAGAGCGUUUCUGGCAUUAGUUUGUUGGAGGCGGGACCCGCGUCAUUUACUGUGAAAAAAUUAGAGUGUUUAAAGCAGGCAAUUGGCUUGAAUACAUUAGCAUGGAAUAGUAAGAUAGGACUUUGGUGCUAUUUUGUUGGUUUGCACAUCAAGGUAAUGAUUAACAGAAUCAGUCGGGGAUAUUCGUAUGCAAAUGUCAGAGGUGAAAUUCUUGGAUUUUUUACAGACGAACUACUGCGAAAGCAUUUAUCAAGGAUGUUUUCAUCA